CUAAAAUUGUUUCUUGGUAUUAGAACUACAUAAAUGGCUUACACCGAAACCGAUUUUUCAUCACCUGAUUCACCAAAAGAAAACCCAGACUUCCCGAAAUCAACAACAAGGUCGAAUUAAGAAAAAAUAUUGAUGAAGGAGUUUGUUAUCAAGUUCGAUUAGGAACUUGUUCUGUCGGAAAUCCCAGCUUCACCAACUUGCUCAACCAAGUUUCCUCGAUUAAGCUUGGGAGAGGUAACUUCAUUCUGUGGUAGAAUAUUGUGCUCCCUAUUCUAAAAAGCUACAAACUUGAAAGUCAUCUCACUGGAAGCACAUCCCACCCUGAGCACUCUAUUGACAUUCCUCCUUGUGAGGAUGAACCGAAAGGAUUAUUGAUGCCCAACUCAGAGUAUGAUAUAUGGAUUGCCGCAGACCAGCUACUUAUUGGUUGGUUCUACAACUCAAUGACACCGAAGUCGUUGCGUAGGUCAUGAGACAUGAUGAAGCUAAACCAUUGUGGGAUUCAAUUCAGGAGUACUUUGGAGUUCAAUCCAGAUCCCAGGAAGAUCACAAUCGAAAAAUGCUUCAAGAAACUCGCAAAGGUGAAGUUUCUGCCUUAUAGCAUUGCAAUGCCGCCCUUGGAGCAUUGCAACUCUGUUCUUUAGCCAGCCCAAAUCAUAAAGAAAAUCCUGUGGCAUUGCAAUGCUGGAAUGAAGGGUUGCAACGUUCUUCAUCCCAGCCCAGAAGGUGUGUGCGUGAAGGAAUUGGCGGUUCAACAGAACCGGUUCGGCCAGUUUGGGUGUUGGAGGUCCGAUUCAACCUGUUUUAGAUCAGUUCAGCCCAAAUUUCUUCUUUGGAGGUCUGGAUCGGGUGGUUCGAGUAGUUCAAGACUUGUCAUUUUGUAGUAGUUUUAGGCUUUUGUUGGCUUAGAUUGCAAAAACUAGUCCAUUUCAGUGUAUGUUUAAUUAUUUAUGCAUUUUGAAUGUAUGUUUAAUUAAAUUAAAUCUUGUAUGUGCAUAAAGUAUGCCAUGUAGAUUUAAAAUCCCACCAUAAGAAACUUGUUUCAUGUA